GGCUCAGAUUGAACGCUGGCGGUAUGCCUUACACAUGCAAGUCGAACGGUAGAGGAGCAAUCCUCGAGAGUGGCGAACGGGUGAGUAAUACAUCGGAACGUGCCCAGUCGUGGGGGAUAACGUAGCGAAAGCUACGCUAAUACCGCAUACGACCCGAGGGUGAAAGCGGGGGACUCGCAAGAGCCUCGCGCGAUUGGAGCGGCCGAUGGCAGAUUAGGUAGUUGGUGGGGCAAAGGCCCACCAAGCCUGCGAUCUGUAGCUGGUCUGAGAGGACGACCAGCCACACUGGGACUGAGACACGGCCCAGACUCCUACGGGAGGCAGCAGUGGGGAAUUUUGGACAAUGGGCGAAAGCCUGAUCCAGCCAUACCGCGUGCGGGAAGAAGGCCUUCGGGUUGUAAACCGCUUUUGUCAGGGAAGAAAUACUUCGGGCUAAUACCCUGGGGUGAUGACGGUACCUGAAGAAUAAGCACCGGCUAACUACGUGCCAGCAGCCGCGGUAAUACGUAGGGUGCAAGCGUUAAUCGGAAUUACUGGGCGUAAAGCGUGCGCAGGCGGUUCUAUAAGACAGAUGUGAAAUCCCCGGGCUCAACCUGGGAACUGCAUUUGUGACUGUAGAGCUAGAGUACG
rnacentral:rRNA from 1 species